UACGUAGGGGGCAAGCGUUGUCCGGAUUUAUUGGGCGUAAAGAGCGUGUAGGCGGCCAAGCAGGUCCGCUGUGAAAACUCGAGGCUCAACCUCGAGACGUCGGUUGAAACCGCAUGGCUAGAGUCCGGAAGAGGAGAGUGGAAUUCCCGGUGUAGCGGUGAAAUGCGCAGAUAUCGGGAAGAACACCCGUGGCGAAGGCGGCUCUCUGGGACGGUACUGACGCUGAGACGCGAAAGCGUGGGGAGCGAACAGG
rnacentral:rRNA from 1 species